GAUGAACGCUGGCGGCGUGCCUAAUACAUGCAAGUCGAGCGAACAGACGAGGAGCUUGCUCCUCUGACGUUAGCGGCGGACGGGUGAGUAACACGUGGAUAACCUACCUAUAAGACUGGGAUAACUUCGGGAAACCGGAGCUACUACCGGAUAAUAUAUUGAACCGCAUGGUUCAAUAGUGAAAGACGGUUUUGCUGUCAAUUAUAGAUGGAUCCGCGCCGCAUUAGCUAGUUGGUAAGGUAACGGCUUACCAAGGCAACGAUGCGUAGCCGACCUGAGAGGGUGAUCGGCCACACUGGAACUGAGACACGGUCCAGACUCCUACGGGAGGCAGCAGUAGGGAAUCUUCCGCAAUGGGCGAAAGCCUGACGGAGCAACGCCGCGUGAGUGAUGAAGGUCUUCGGAUCGUAAAACUCUGUUAUUAGGGAAGAACAAAUGUGUAAGUAACUAUGCACGUCUUGACGGUACCUAAUCAGAAAGCCACGGCUAACUACGUG
rnacentral:rRNA from 1 species